rnacentral:misc_RNA from 1 species
UCAUAUUUGGAAAAAAAAAUUCAUCAGUUUACAAAAGAAAAAAUCAAACCACAGUAAUGUUGGUAAUCAUAAACCACCCACCUGUUAUGGGCUAACAAGUCCCUUACAGAAAAUUUGAUGCUGAAAUCACCGUCUUCUUAAGGAGGGGAAUCACUAGAAUUAACCUCAAGAACUGGCGGAGAAGCGGGGCAGCAGGAGCACCGCCUCCUCAGUCUCG